rnacentral:rRNA from 1 species
UGGGGAAUUUUGGACAAUGGGGGAAACCCUGAUCCAGCCAUCCCGCGUGUGCGAUGAAGGCCUUCGGGUUGUAAAGCACUUUUGGCAGGAAAGAAACGUCGCGGGUUAAUACCCCGCGGAACUGACGGUACCUGCAGAAUAAGCACCGGCUAACUACGUGCCAGCAGCCGCGGUAAUACGUAGGGUGCAAGCGUUAAUCGGAAUUACUGGGCGUAAAGCGUGCGCAGGCGGUUCGGAAAGAAAGAUGUGAAAUCCCAGAGCUUAACUUUGGAACUGCAUUUUUAACUACCGGGCUAGAGUGUGUCAGAGGGAGGUGGAAUUCCGCGUGUAGCAGUGAAAUGCGUAGAUAUGCGGAGGAACACCGAUGGCGAAGGCAGCCUCCUGGGAUAACACUGACGCUCAUGCACGAAAGCGUGGGGAGCAAACAGGAUUAGAUACCCUGGUAGUCCACGCCCUAAACGAUGUCAACUAGCUGUUGGGGUCUUCGGACCUUGGUAGCGCAGCUAACGCGUGAAGUUGACCGCUUGGGGAGUACGGUCGCAAGAUUAAAACUCAAAUGAAUUGAC